ACCCAAUACGUCCUAAGGGGUAGCUCAAUUGCUAGAGUAUGAGGCUCUUAAUCUCAAGGUUCUGGGUUCAAGCCCCAUAUUAGGUA